CCUUGCAAUCCAUGUGCACUGUAUGUGCAUGUCUGGCCUGCUACCCCUUGGUCACUGCAGGAGACAGGAGGAUGGCCUAAUCUUGCUACCUCUAGGGUCACCGCAAGUAAAUCCAAAUGCCCUGUAUGUGCAUGCCCAGCCUGCUACCUCUUGGUCACUGCAGGAAUCAUGGUGAUGGCAUGAUCUUGCUACCCCUAGGGUCACAGCAAGUAAAUCCAUAUGCCCUGCAUGUGCAUGCCCAGCCUGCUACCUCUUGGUCACUGCAGGAAUCAUGG